UUAAAGGACCACUAUAGUGCCAGGAAAACAUACACGUUUUCCUGGCACUAUAGUGCCCUGAGGGUGCCCCCACCCUCAGGGACCCCCUCCCGUCCAGCUCUGGAAAGGGGAAAGGGGUUUAAACUUACCUUUUUCCAGCGCUGGGCGGAGAGCUCUCCUCCUUCUCUCCUCCUCCGAUCUGCCCCGUCGGCUGAAUGCGCACUUGCUGCGCGCGCAUUCAGCCGGUCACAUAGGAAAGCAUUUAC